rnacentral:rRNA from 1 species
CGUUAGCGGCGGAUGGGUGAGUAACACGUGGGUAACCUACCUAUAAGACUGGGAUAACUCCGGGAAACCGGGGCUAAUACCGGAUAACACAUGAAACCGCAUGGUUUCAUGAUGAAAGACGGUUUUGCUGUCACUUAUAGAUGGACCCGCGGCGUAUUAGCUAGUUGGUAAGGUAACGGCUUACCAAGGCAACGAUACGUAGCCGACCUGAGAGGGUGAUCGGCCACACUGGAACUGAGACACGGUCCAG